ensembl:piRNA 21ur-10018 ncRNA
UUUCAAUGAAUUAGAAAGAAA